rnacentral:rRNA from 1 species
UACGUAGGGGGCAAGCGUUGUCCGGAUUUAUUGGGCGUAAAGAGCGUGUAGGCGGCCAUGUAGGUCCGUUGUGAAAACUCGAGGCUCAACCUCGAGACGCCGAUGGAAACCAUGUGGCUAGAGUCCGGAAGAGGAGAGUGGAAUUCCUGGUGUAGCGGUGAAAUGCGCAGAUAUCAGGAGGAACACCAAUGGCGAAGGCAGCUCACUGGGACGGUAUUGACGCUGAGACGCGAAAGCGUGGGGAGCAAACAGG